AAUCGAUCGAGUAAGUCAGGCCCCAGAGAUCCAGUCGACCCGCAGGAGGGACCUUCGAAGGGUCCAAUUAGCUUGGACCAUCAGCCGUAGAAGUACGCAGGAUCCGCCACCGGGCCAUCCCUAGCUUCCGCACCACCAAGUAAGGUGGAAGAUUCUGGAAUUGGUUAAAUUACAGGGGAGACUCUGCCGAAUUUUCGACAGAAGUCUAAGGAAAAUUUUAAAAGAAUUUUGAACGAGAAGGGUAAGAAGGUCUUUUGUACCCGACAUUCGCCAGGUGUCGGACAUGCACAGGACUUGGCUCGAAUUUCAAAGCAGAAAUUGGGUCGGGUCCUGUCAAGACAAGCUGGGUUGAUGCAUUUUUGGGACCUCGUGAGGUGGUGGUUACUAAGAGCACUUUCAUCCAUUUGCUAUGGCAAAGGGUAAGGGCAAGAGCAAGGGAUGUUACUAUUCAUGUGAAUAGUGGCAGUCAUUGCAAAAGGUUGUGUUUUCACCAAUUGCCAUGGCAACCACUAUUUACAUGAAAUAUGAGGAGAGAAAUUUGUAUAGAUUUUUAGUGUGGGAAGUGAAGAAUAUGACUAAGUAUUUAUUAAAAAAAAAUUCUGGAAUUUUUAGUUUUUUUUAUAAAUUUUUUUUGUUGCUGACAUCCUCGCUAAGAUUUGCAUUCUAAUACAAACUCUAAGAUGGUCUUCUACUCACUUAAGGAUAACUAGUCCAAUGUCAAUUAGGA